GCCACUGUGGCUUAGCUGGUAGAGCACCUGAUUCGUAAUCAGGCGGUCGAGAGUUCAAAUCUCUCCAGUGGCU
rnacentral:tRNA from 1 species